CACUGAGGCACACCGUGGGGUGGCUUGUUCUGAGCCCCUACGGAGGGAUAAGAAAACCACCCUCCUCAUGAUUUCUUUCAGAGUGACACAUGAAUAACUGGAUAUAAACUGGUUGAGGAGAAUCAACGAAGAAGUAAAAAUGACUCCAAAUUAUGGGCAUAAACAGCAUACAACUCUGCAGUAAAUAGGAGUGUGCCGUCAUGCUAAUUCAAGUACAGCUGCAGUGCAAUUAAGACUGGCAG